ACGCUCGACACCUACGAGAGGCAGCAGUGGGGAAUAUUGCACAAUGGGGGAAACCCUGAUGCAGCGACGCCGCGUGAGCGAAGAAGUAUUUCGGUAUGUAAAGCUCUAUCAGCAGGGAAGAAAAUGACGGUACCUGACUAAGAAGCCCCGGCUAACUACGUGCCAGCAGCCGCGGUAAUCUGAGCGGGCUGGCAAGGC
rnacentral:rRNA from 1 species